rnacentral:rRNA from 1 species
GAUGAACGCUGGCGGCGUGCCUAAUACAUGCAAGUCGAGCGAACAGACGAGGAGCUUGCUCCUCUGACGUUAGCGGCGGACGGGUGAGUAACACGUGGAUAACCUACCUAUAAGACUGGGAUAACUUCGGGAAACCGGAGCUAAUACCGGAUAAUAUAUUGAACCGCAUGGUUCAAUAGUGAAAGACGGUUUUGCUGUCACUUAUAGAUGGAUCCGCGCCGCAUUAGCUAGUUGGUAAGGUAACGGCUUACCAAGGCAACGAUGCGUAGCCGACCUGAGAGGGUGAUCGGCCCACCUGGAACUGAGACACGGGCCCGACUCCCACGGGAGGGAGCAGUGGGGAAUCUUCCGCAAUGGGGGGAAGCCUGGCGGAGGCACGCCCCGUGAGGGGUGAAGGUCUUCGGAUCGUAAAACCCUUUUAAUAGGGAAAAAAAAAAGUGGAAGGAAACAGGCCCGGUUUGACGGUACCUAAUCAAAAAGCCCCGGCUAACUACGUG